rnacentral:rRNA from 1 species
GUGGGGAAUAUUGGGCAAUGGGCGAAAGCCUGACCCAGCAACGCCGCGUGAAGGAAGAAGGUCUUCGGAUUGUAAACUUCUUUGAUCAGGGACGAAAGAAAUGACGGUACCUGAAGAACAAGCCACGGCUAACUACGUGCCAGCAGCCGCGGUAAUACGUAGGUGGCAAGCGUUAUCCGGAUUUACUGGGUGUAAAGGGCGUGUAGGCGGUUCUGCAAGUCAGAUGUGAAAUUCCCGGGCUUAACCCGGGCGCUGCAUCUGAAACUGCAGAACUUGAGUACUGGAGAGGAUAGUGGAAUUCCUAGUGUAGCGGUAAAAUGCGUAGAUAUUAGGAGGAACACCAGUGGCGAAGGCGGCUAUCUGGACAGUAACUGACGCUGAGGCGCGAAAGCGUGGGGAGCAAACAGGAUUAGAAACCCGUGUAGUCC